ACGGCGAGACCACGGGAAGAGACGCAGCGGCAUCAGCGACACAUUCACCAGUUCACCACGCGAUCACGAGCUGCAGUGGAUAAUACCAAAACCUCUGCACCCGAGUUCUAGCCUUCCAAACUCCAAACGAUAGCGGCGACCAGCUGGCAGGGCUCGACGAGGACUACGACAUGUGAUCUUUGUUAUUUCCUUCUACCUUUUUAUUUUUUGUGAUUUGUGAAUCUUAGUUCUGUUUAUGUCCCAAUUGUCUAGGCACUAAUUUUUUUUGUUCAAUUUUUGUCUAGUACUUUAUACUCAUAUAGUUAUAUUUUUCUUGUAAUUUAGGUUAGGUGUUAGAAUUUUAGAAUGUUACCUAAGAAACAAUUGUCAAGGACCAUGAAAAGAAAAUGAAAAAGAUAAGAAGAGCAGUUUGUCUAUAUAUGACUGGAUUUGCUUUCCCUUUACGAAAAAAUUAACUUAUAUUAUUAUAAAAUUUUAGUUUAGGGGUCGUCGCAAUGUAUUCGCCAGAGGGCCCUCAAAUUUGUAGGACCGGCACUG
rnacentral:lncRNA from 1 species